rnacentral:tRNA from 1 species
GCCCCUAUGGUGGAAUUGGUAGACACGUGGGAUUCAAAAUCCCAUUCCUUCGGGAGUGUCCGUUCGAGUCGGACUAGGGGUACCA